rnacentral:rRNA from 1 species
UGGGGAAUAUUGCGCAAUGGGGGGAACCCUGACGCAGCCAUGCCGCGUGAAUGAAGAAGGCCUUCGGGUUGUAAAGUUCUUUCGGUAUUGAGGAAGGUUGAUGUGUUAAUAGCACAUCAAAUUGACGUUAAAUACAGAAGAAGCACCGGCUAACUCCGUGCCAGCAGCCGCGGUAAUACGGAGGGUGCGAGCGUUAAUCGGAAUAACUGGGCGUAAAGGGCACGCAGGCGGUUAUUUAAGUGAGGUGUGAAAGCCCUGGGCUUAACCUAGGAAUUGCAUUUCAGACUGGGUAACUAGAGUACUUUAGGGAGGGGUAGAAUUCCACGUGUAGCGGUGAAAUGCGUAGAGAUGUGGAGGAAUACCGAAGGCGAAGGCAGCCCCUUGGGAAUGUACUGACGCUCAUGUGCGAAAGCGUGGGGAGCAAACAGGAUUAGAUACCCUGGUAGUCCACGCUGUAAACGCUGUCGAUUUGGGGGUUGGGGUUUAACUCUGGCGCCCGUAGCUAACGUGAUUCGACCGCCUGGGGAGUACGGCCGCAAGGUUA